rnacentral:misc_RNA from 1 species
UGUACAUCCCAAUAAACCUCUACUACUAUACUUUUACUCACCUGGAUGGAUUCAUUGCCCCUGAACUUCCACUGCAGGUGCUUAACUUGAAUGGCUAGCUGCCCAUCUAUCUUUAUCUCUGUUCAAGAUCAAACCCACAAAUGCUACUGUCGUUGCUGCUGCUACUAUUGUUGUUGCUUUCAACUGAAAUCUCAUGGAAUUUGAGAUCUUUCUCAUGAAAUUUAAUUCUUGUUGUGAAUUUCUUCUUCCCAAACACAUGUUCCUUUCUGGACACCAAAA